rnacentral:rRNA from 1 species
GACGAACGCUGGCGGCGUGCUUAACACAUGCAAGUCGAACGGUGAAGCGCUUGCCUUUUUGGUGGGUGUGGAUGAGUGGCGAACGGGUGAGUAACACGUGAGUAACCUGCCCUCUUCUUCUGGAUAACCUCAUGAAAGUGGGGCUAAUACGGGGUAUUCCGGGUCUGUCGCGUGGCGGGUUUGGGAAAGAUUGCGCCUUUGGGUGUUUUCGGUGGGGGAUGGGCUCGCGGCCUAUCAGCUUGUUGGUGGGGUGAUGGCCUACCAAGGCGGUGACGGGUAGCCGGCCUGAGAGGGUGGACGGCCACACUGGGACUGAGACACGGCCCAGACUCCUGCGGGAGGCAGCAGUGGGGAAUAUUGCACAAUGGGCGCAAGCCUGAUGCAGCGACGCCGCGUGAGGGAUGGAGGACUUCGGGUUGUGAACCUCUUUCGCCAGUGAAGCAGGCCUGCUCCUGUGUGGGUGGGUUGACGGUAGCUGGAUAAGAAGCGCCGGCUAACUACGUG